CCAGGAUCUACUGGCUUAAACAUGUUAGAUUAGAUAACUUAGAUUCCAGGAUCUACUGGCUUAAACAUGUUAGAUUAGAUAACUUAGAUUCCAGGAUCUACUGGCUUAAACAUGUUAGAUUAGAUAACUUAGAUUCCAGGAUCUACUCUUGAAGGAAGAUUUUGAGCUGGACUCCAUGCACCUUUCAAGUGCCAAUUGAGAAUUUAAAGUUGUAAAAAAUAAAGAGAGCACUUUGAGUAACUUUUCAAAGUAUUUAUACGUUUGUACAUAGUUGUAAUUAAUAUGAAUAAAUGCAGUGAAGAUAUCUACAGUAACAAGUAUCCUAUAUUUCUAGCUAUAUUCUUUCCUCCGAUAUAUAGUUACAUUUAAAUUUAUCACUCAUGAUUUGGAACAUACAUAUGAAAAAAAAAAGAAUAAUUCUUAAUGCCUUUUUUUAUUUUUAGGUUUUGAUAAAUUGUGCACUUUAAGCUGGUGGCGCUAGUGAUUUAAAGGCAACCGAUCUAUAUAUAUGUACAUUACUGAUUCCACUUUUUCUGGUUAUCAUAAGACAACAAAGUUGUUAUGUGGUUUGAACCUGGUAUUUGUAGCUAAACAAAAGUGUAAUACAAGAUUUUACUGCCAGCUAUAUGAUAGCUGUAUUACAGGCAACUAGCAGUGUCUCAAGGUACUGUUUAACAUGAUUUUUCUUUGCCCCUAAACUGAACGUGUAUGAAGUUCUGUGUGAGGUGUCGAGUUGUUUAUAUCAGUGUUGUAUAGACAAAGUAUUUACAUGAAUUUGUUCGAGUAUUUUGUGUUGGAAAUAUAAACAGAUGAGGGUGGAGUUUACUAUGUCACUUCAGGAACCAGGUUACAGACAACCACUUCUAUUUACGAAAUGUUUUAUAAUGAUAGGUUUUAUUCUUGUUUUUAAUUCUGUCUUUACUUGUUACUGUUCAUGUUUCUAGUAUGAAUUUCUAUAUUUGAACUUUGAAUGAUAUUAUAUAUUGCAUGUGAAGUUUCAAGAAAUACGUGUUUUUUUUGUUUUUAUCAGCUCUUGAAAAACCUUGUGAUUGUAGGCAAGAUGAAAUAAUGUAGUAGUUUAAUAAUCUCUUAUUACCAGGAGCAGAAUGUAUUAAUGGAUUUCUAUAUUUUUGGAUCAUAUAUAUAUAUUAUUUCAAGAUUUUAUUUAGAUAACAUAGAAAACCCAACCUUCCAAAUUUCUUAAACAGAUUUCAAGACAACGUAUUUUUGUGUAUAAUUUUUGAAAUCUCAAAGCCUUAAGAGAUCACAGUUGGUUUAAAUUAGUAAUUAAAGUUUUUAACUGUCAAGGAAAUGUAUUUUAAUAAUGUUUAUGUAUUUCACAGAAAUGUUUCUGUGUUAGUUAUUUGCUGUAUAAAGAUGUGUACAUCACUUAUUUUAAUCCUUGAUCUGAACUUCGUUUCAUUUGCUGAGCUCAUAAGUGUAAUUCAUCAAUAAUUUGUUCAUAUGUGGAAUAAUGGUGAUACACUCUGGAAACUAAAUCUUACUGAAUGAGGUUUUUCUAAACUUCCAUAUAAAAAAUGUAUUAUGAGAGAUGACGAUAAUUACAGUGAACUUGUUACUCUUACGAUGGUAGACAUUGUGUUUUGUGUGUGCUUUGUUUAACACUGUAUCUUAGUAUCACAGCUAGUGUUUAAGCUCAAAUUUCUUGUUGUUUCUAGAUAUGUAAAGGUUUUAUUAGGCAUGUGUCACAUUACUCUUCUGUUUCUAGAUAAGUACAGGAUUUAUCAGGCAUGUGUCACAUUACUCUCUUCUGUUUCUAGAUAAGUAAAUGUUUUAUCAGGCAUAUGUCACAUUUACUUUCUUCUGUUUCUAGAUAAGUAAAAUUUUUCAGGCAUGUGUCACAUUACUCUCUUCUGUUUCUAGAUUAGUAUAAGUUUUAUCAGGCAUAUGUCACAUUUACUCUCUUCUGUUUCUAGAUAAGUAAAGGUUUUAUCAGGCAUAUGUCACAUUUACUCUCUUCUGUUUCUAGAUAAGUAAAAUUUUUCAGGCAUGUGUCACAUUACUCUCUUCUGAUGUAAUGAAGUAAAAGGUGAGGUUGAAUUCCUGAUCUACUGAAUAUAUAAUUCUUGUUUUAUAAGAAUGCAACAGUGUACAUAUAUGUAAUUGCUUAAGCUUAUUCUUUAAUAUCAGAAUUGUACAGUUCCACUGAGGCUACCAUUUGGGUGACUACGUUAGAAGUACAUUUAACACUUCACAUGUGGGAACUUCUGUAAAUACAGUAUGAAAGUAUGUAGUUUUAAACUAAACUUGGCCGACUAACACUAUUGUACGUAAAUACUGUAUGGUAAAAUUGAGCUAUAAAGAUAUGCAUUUUCUUUUUUGACAUCUGGUUUAUUUUCGUCUGCUAUUGUUUGUACAUUUCUAAUUCUUCAAAGGUUUCCAGUUUUUUAGAUGUUGAAGCAGGAAAUGCAAAAUAUAAAUUUGAUAAAACUGGAAAAUCAGCAGUGGUUUAAAGGUCAAUGAUUAGGACAGUUAUUACUACAAAACUUUUACGUAAUGCCAUUGUGAGGACAGUCUGCUUUCUACUAGAUAGCUAACUUUUUAAUGUACCAUCUUGUCACAAGCAUACAAGUUCUGUUACAAAUAAUGAUGCUUCUUGCUACCUAAGUUGCCCAGUAACUUUUUCAGGUACCAGUUACAAUUCUACUGUUUUGUUCUGUUACAAACCAUGAUGUUUCCUGCUACCUUAUUUCACCAGCAACUUCUUCAGGUGCUACUUACAAUUCUACUGUUUUGUUCUGUUACAAACCAUGAUGUUUCCUGCUACCUUAUUUCACCAGCAACUUCUUCAGGUGCUACUUACAAUUCUACUGUUUUGUUCUGUUACAAACCAGGAUGCUUCCUGCUACCUUAUUUCACCAGCAACUUCUUCAGGUGCUACUUACAAUUCUACUGUUUUGUUCUGUUACAAACCAUGAUGUUUCCUGCUACCUUAUUUCACCAGUAUCUUCUUCAGGUGCUACUUACAAUUCUACUGUUUUGUGCUGUUAAACACCAGGAUGUUUCCUGCUACCUUAUUUCACCAGUAUCUUCUUCGGGUGCUACUUACAAUUCUACUGUUUCAUGCUGUUAAACACCAGCAUGUUUAUGGUUUUCUAAUACCAGUUCAAUUAAUAAAUUGUUACUUAUCAGCUGGGACUGUAUUGUUUUUAGGUGUUAAUAGCAGACAUAAAGGCAAUUUGUAUCUUUCAGAGGUUUUAAUUUUACAGUAAUAGGCUAGGGUUAAAGAUGACUGUAUCUUCCAGAGGUUUUAAUUUUACAGUAUUAGUCUAGGGUCAAUGAUGACUGUAUCUUCCAGAGAUUUUGAUUUUACAAUAAUAGUCUAGGGUCAAUGAUGACGUAUCUUUCUGAAUUUUUAAACUUUCAGAACCACUCUAGGAUUGAAGAUAAUUUUAUUACCUCAAGGUUUUAAGUUUUCAGUACUAUCUAGGCUUAAUGUUACCAUCCCAAGGUUUGAAUUUACAAUACCAGCUUUAGGUUAGAAGAAACUGUAGUGAAUGAAGUCUGACUUUAGUGGACACUCAGAUUACAUAUUUCUUAUCAUGCUACAACAUUCUACAUAUCAUUAUCGUGCUUUAUAUAGUAAAGUCUUGCAUCAAAGAAGACUUUAAUUAAGCUCAGAUUUUGGUUCUGUAAUAGCAUUUAUUUUUGAACAUGUUUUUACUGUCAUCUCAUUUCUAAGUAUUGUUGUUUUGAGAAGUUGACAAUUUUAAGAAUAGAAAUUACCAACUAAUAUUUCUAUUUUUUGGUCUGUAAAAGAAGCAAACAUAAGUAUUUAUCUGUCUUCACUUUCCUACCAUUCUUGUAUGAACUGUAAAUCCACUAUGUAUAUAAUAUUCAUAUAUUUAAAUAUCACAUAAUGUGAAAUGUUGUGAGAUCCUUUCAAUUGUAGUAUUUUAAAAGUUAUAGACGAUUAAAUUUGUUUCUUCAAAAGCUCUUUUAUUAAUGUAACUGAUUAGUUACAUCAAUAAAUAUUAUUUUCAGUUUCACCAUUUGAAAUACAUCAUUGACGAUGGAGAAUUAUUUCCAACUUUCAGUGAUGAUAAACGUGGUUGAUUGUGUGUUGCCAGAAUUUAAUAGUUUAUAGAGUCCUCUAGAAUAUAGUUAAAAAAUAAUAAUUAAAAAGCCACGAGCACUUGUUAAUAUUUCAAAAAGAACUGUUUCCGUUGCUGUUGAAAGGCUUAGGUUAUGUUUGUUUGUUUUAAAGAUCAUAUUGGACAAUCCACUGUGGCAACUCAGACUUUGCGAGAGAGGUCACAUUCUUUGUUGACUUUGAAAACUGUAAUUAUUUUAUAUUUCUGAAUCUUGCAACUUAUGUGUUACAGAUCUAUUUUGUAAAUGUCACAGGAGGUGCUUGUGGUAGUUUCUUUUCAUCAAGCCACAGUAAGUUCAGUUGUAUGAUGUGUUGUUAAAUAUAACAUACGAACGACUUGAGAGAUGUUAUUCUCUUGUAUAUAGGGCUGCAAACCUUUCUUACAAAAUGGCUGGCUCGAAUAUAUUCUGUGUGGAAAGAUUUCUUUAAGAAGAAUGUAUAUAUAAGUAGCUAAUGAAAUGAAAAUAUUGUCAAAAACAUAUUAUAGCAUUGCAAUUAGUUGGCUAAGUUGUACUAGAUACGAAUGCUUAUCCACUUGGUGCUCGGAGUAUUUCCGUCUUGAAAGUGUAUGCCGUGUGUAAUAGUAUAAAAAAGUGUUACUGAUAGUAGUGUUCCAGAAUUAUUUAAUAUCAAGAAUGUGUUAUAAUCUUCCACAAGAGCAAUGGACAAAUAAAUGGUAAUAAACAGUGAUGGAGGAAAAAAUUUCAUUUCUAUCUUCACAGUGUAUAGGCUGAAUUAGAUUAGACUGUGUAAUAAUGACAGAGAUUAAAACAUGGGAACAACUUGGGAACAUUUUUCCUGUAAGUGGUUUUUACAGUACACUAAUAUCAUUAGUUAAUAUAGGUCUAAGAUCUGACCUUUUAUAACAUGGGUACAACUUGGGAACAUUUUUAUAUUAGUUUACUGUAAAAACCACUUACAGGAACAUUAGUUACUAUAGGUCAAAGAUCUGACCUUUUAUAACAUGGGUACAACUUAGGAACAUUUUUAUAUUAGUUUACUAAGAUAUUCACUUAUAAGAAAACUGUAAUUACUGUAGGUCAAAGAUCUUACCUUUAAGCCAACAGUUCCCAUAGCGACAACAGUUAUCUGUGUUACAAUUGUACUAAACCUAAUACAGCUAAGUUAUCGUUAUCUUUAAGCCAGCAGUUCCCAUAGCGACAACAGUUAUCUGUGUUACAAUUGUACUAAACCUAAUACAGCUAAGUUAUCGUUAUCUUUAAGCCAGCAGUUCCCAUAGCGACAACAGUUAUCUGUGUUACAAUUGUACUAAACCUAAUACAGCUAAGUUAUCUUUAAGCCAGCAGUUCCCAUAGCGACAACAGUUAUCUGUGUUACAAUUGUACAAAAUCUAAUACAGCAAAGUUAUCGUUAUCUUUAAGCCAGCAGUUCCCAUAGCGACAACAGUUAUCUGUGUUACAAUUGUACUAAACCUAAUACAGCUAAUUUAUCGUUAUUUUUAAGCCAACAGUUUUCAUAGCAACGAGGGUCUGAUAUCUGUGUUGCACUUUGUUUGCUCAUGAUUUUCAGUGAUUUGGUAAAGUUUGGAAUAAUUUGUAGUGCGUACUGGAGGAAUUUAGGUGUUUUGGAAAUAUCGUUAGAAAUGAACGGUUCUUUACUCUCUAUAUAAUAAUAAUAAUAGACAUUGUUUCACAUCGACAAGUUCUUUUACUACUAGCCCCGAUGAAGCCGCAACGGCGAAACGUUGGCUGAAAUCAAAAGUCUUAUUAUAAUUAUCUGGAGCGUAAAUUUUUCUUUUUUUUAAGUUUGGAAAACGUGCACCAAAUGUUUCUUCUGCAGUGUUGUUAUAUUUGUAUUUACCAGAAAUAUAUCGACUUCAAUAUUGAAACAACUCUCAGACAUGAAGUGACUGUAGUUAGGCUCUUGGGGUAUAUUUUGCAUAGUUAUUCUGUAUAUUUGUAUGUAAAAUAAAGUUUGUUAAAUAAAAGGAUUAAAACUAUA
rnacentral:lncRNA from 1 species